rnacentral:rRNA from 1 species
UACGUAGGGGGCAAGCGUUGUCCGGAAUCAUUGGGCGUAAAGCGCGUGUAGGCGGCUCGAUAAGUCUGCUGUGAAAGUCCAGGGCUCAACCUUGGGGCUGCGUUUGAGACGGGUGAUCUUGAGUUCGGAAGAGGGUCGUGGAAUUCCCAGUGUAGUGGUGAAAUACGUAGAGAUUGGGAAGAACACCAGUGGCGAAGGCGGCUAUCUGGACGGUUUCUGACGCUAAGACGCGAAAGCGUGGGGAGCAAACAGG